UACGUUUCUCCUGCUGUCAUCGGCCGAGCGAUGGAGCCUCCCUGUCAGCACCGACCGGGGAAUUCACAAGCUCGGUGGAAAUUCUCCGCGCGCGCCGGUGUACGCAGAACUGCUCGUCUGCGUGAAUAGACGGAUCCUCCCGAGUGCCGCAGUCAUUCUCUGUUGAGCCAGGAAGGACUGAGGAUGCCUGGAAUCUCCAGAAGCGUCAUUCUCUGAUAUCUGAUGGAACGCUGCGGCCUGAGAAUGACAAUGUCAAAUAGUUGAUGAUAGCAGGACUACAUACAGAUUACACACACACACACACACACACACACACACACACACACACACUAAUGAGAGAGACACACUGACCAUACUCUGCCAUGCAUUUGUUAUGUAAUUUUCAUCUUUGUGAUGUCUGCUGAGAUCUGACUUUGGUCUCUGAGAACUGUAAAAAGAGAGGUGAGCUCUUUUAUUCUUGUCUGAAUCUAUUAUAAUAAACAUGUUUUAUCUAUCCACGCAAACUCACUCGAAUUCCCUUAAACUCAGAGUGGAUGCCAUACUCAUUUUCUGUUGCAGUUACAGAGGACGCCUCAAGGUGGAGCCAGUGACCUAAAACAGAAAAAAAUGCAGUCAGACCAAGAGCAAAACGAACUGAGGUCCUGGUCUUUGAUUCAAAACAACAGGGCAACUGGUGCUGGCAUUGUGCAAAACACAGAGGAGGAUUUAGAGAACAGAGGAGAAGAGAUGCUGACCAGAGCACAUGCACAAACCACAACACAAACACAUGCAUGUAUUCAUGAAAAUGCAUACACUCUUAAAG